rnacentral:rRNA from 1 species
AUUGAACGCUGGCGGCAGGCUUAACACAUGCAAGUCGAGGGGGGUGAUGGUGCUUGCACUAUCACUUAGCGGCGGACGGGUGAGUAAUGCUUAGGAAUCUGCCUAUUAGUGGGGGACAACAUCUCGAAAGGGAUGCUAAUACCGCAUACGUCCUACGGGAGAAAGCAGGGGAUCACUUGUGACCUUGCGCUAAUAGAUGAGCCUCAGUCGGAUUAGCUAGUUGGUGGGGUAAAGGCCUACCAAGGCGACGAUCUGUAGCGGGUCUGAGAGGAUGAUCCGCCACACUGGGAGUGAGAAACGGCCGCGGAUCCGACGGGAGGCAGAAGUGGGGAAUAUUGGACAAUGGGGGGAACCCUGAUCCAGACAUGCCGCGUGUGUGAAGAAGGCCUUAUGGUUGUAAAGCACUUUAAGCGAGGAGGAGGCUCUUUUGGUUAAUACCCAAGAUGAGUGGACGUUACUCGCAGAAUAAGCACCGGCUAACUCUGUGCCAGCCGCCGCGGUAA